rnacentral:tRNA from 1 species
GGAACUAUAGUUCAAGUGGAAGAAUAUAACCUUGCCAAGGUUAGGGUUGAAGGUUCAAUUCCUUCUAGUUCCC